rnacentral:rRNA from 1 species
GACAGAGGGGGCAAGCGUUGCUCGGAAUUACUGGGCGUAAAGGGCGCGUAGGCGGGAUGGCAAGUCGGUCGUGAAAUCCCUCGGCUCAACCGAGGAACGUCGAUCGAUACUGCUGUUCUUGAGGAUUGCAGAGGAGACUGGGAAUUCCCGGUGUAGCGGUGAAAUGUGUAGAGAUCGGGAGGAACACCGGUGGCGAAGGCAGGUCUCUGGGCAUUAACUGACGCUGAGGAGCGAAAGCAUGGGGAGCGAACAGG